UUUAUAACAAAAUUAUAGUUUGCAAUGCCGAGCCCCAAACACACACACACAUGCAUACAGAUCGAAGCACCGGAACUGCUGCAGGCUGGUAAUUACCACCAAAAAGCUGGCCAUAAAGUGUCGGAGUUGGCCGGAAUAUCGGCGGGACUCAAUGAGUUGUCUAUGCCAGCUCCACAAUGCGUCGAUUAAAAUCGGUGUUACAAUUUAUGCAAGCGAGUUUUUAUGCGAUUUCUAUCGACAACUGCUGCGGUAACAAGUUUUGGCCGAUUAUUUCUGAUGCCGUUGCCAUUUCUGGCCAUUUUCGGCUGCUGUUCACGUGUGUAAUUGUGGCUAAACAAGCAAUUUAUUGGCCCCGAUUGGAAAUUGGCAAUCCUCUAUCAUUGCAAUAGCAUGCAAAAUCAACAAACGAUGGGAACAAUAUUAUAUUAUUGUCUGCACUCGGCCUUCCCAUUUUCCAUCGGGCAUUCCGGGCGCCCAAGUAUGGCAGCCAAAAAUGUAUCGCCAUCUGACCGAAUCGACACCUCCACAAGCCCGCUCCCUCGACCGCUCGACCAACUACCGUUUGCAUGGAGGCUUUAUUAAUAGAAAUAAAUCAAGUUUUGUGCACCGACAUCAAUUAGCCGCAACCGAGGCGAAAUUCAGAGUUGGCUUCCUACCCACUGGCGUCAGAUACAAAUGUAUCUGAAUCUGUAUCUGCACAUGCUUGUUGCCGCUGCCGGUCGGUUUGUUAUUCAGUGUUGGGCCGGUCGUGUUUCAGCCGCCACAUAUGUUAAUAAUUUGCAAAAUGCAUUUGUCUGGCGAUAACACGCAGGUGAUACAGUGUAUGGCACCUGAGAUCUGUCAGAGCCAAUCCCUUGAUUGCAAUGGCGCCUGGAGUUUUGCUAGCAAUUAGCGCAGUCGGAUUUGAAUUCGAGUUCGGAUUCGGAUUCGGCCUUAUCGCAACUUAUGAAGCUAUCAGAGCGCAAGGCUGAGAAGAUACAGCCCUGUCAUAAGUCAGAAAUGAAAUCGGAGACCGAACGGGACCCCAAUCAAUGGGUAGAAGCUGCCUCCAUUAGAUAAAAAUUCACUGGCCCAUAGAUAAAGCCUUAAACGCAGCGAUGCAUUCCACCGAUAAGGCGACAGACAUCGGCCAAUUCAUAAUUCGUGAAGUCGGUUUUUUGGGGCCUACACUGGGAAAUAUGCUAAUAUAUUACCAUAAAUUAAAACCU
ensembl:ncRNA lncRNA:CR46444 long non-coding RNA:CR46444